CGCUCUAACGGUCAUGCGCCUUUACAUAAGCUCUUGAGUACAUACACAACACAAACAGUGGCCAAACGGGAACACAUGCGGCGGAAAAUUUGCGGGAUGCAAAAUUUGCUUCGGAUACAUUUAUGGAAACUGCAUAACACCACCGCCACAAUCGCGACGGUGUGUCACGGCAAUUGUUACGAGCGCGUAGACAUGCAGAUGCGAUCGAAGGAAAAUUAUGCUAACGAAAACGAGUCGAUCUACUUGAGACAGAUAGUGAUUACAACUGUAUUUCAAAGAUGCCAAGCUUCAAGAUUGCGGGACUUACUCGAUCCGAUUGAGGUCACGAAACGUUCCAGAACGUUUAGGAACAUGCAUACGAGGAAUUUAAUAAAUUGCAAGGUCUGGAAUCGAAUUUCGAUUAUUGAAUUUAAACGUUAUAUCAAACUGUGAAGGCUCGCAAUCGUUGCAAAUUCGGUCAACCUUGAUUUGCAAGGACCUUUGCAUUCGUCGUCUGCUACAUCAACAAGAAACUCUGUCUUCGACGUAAUCCUACAUGGGAGGAUAUGCUGCGGAAAUCAAAUGUCUGUAUUUUGAUUCACUACUUUCUCAGUGUUACGAAAAAGCAGGCAAAUAAGUCAACAGCAGGAAUUUGGAUCGGAAUCAGGAUAUGGAAAUCGUAAAAAGUAGAAUCUAUAUUGAUAUCAAUAAUAAUAUUAACAUUAGAAAAAUAU